AACUUGCAACUUUUCAUAGCAAUAUGAAAAAUGGAUUGAACUUGUUACCUGUGGUUGGCCUCAAUAUUUGUGGGUACAUUUGGUGUAGCUUGUGCUGAGUGAUAAUGAAGAAAAUUUUAAUGUAUAUGUAUUGCUAAUGAUUUUUUCAUUCCCCCAAAUAAAUGUAAAAAAUAAUAAUUAAAAAAGAAAAAAAAAAGACAAAAAAAAAAGACUAAAGAUCAGGGAAUGUUAAUCUGAUUUACUUUCAAGGCAGCUAUUUUUUGUAAAAUAAAAUGUGAUUUACCACUGGAACUGUUUUGCAGCUUUCUUGUCUUGUGCUUAGUUUAUUUGGUAAAUAUAGUACCUGUAAAUUAAUCAAUUAUGCUUUAUUAUUUUAUUUUAUUUUGAAUAAACAGCAGAUAAGGGCUAUACUGGUUUAAUUAUUGAUUUGUAAAUGCUAUACUUCAGAAAACUUGUCAUAACUGUCCCUGUCUAAUUCUUCUUCCAUCUAUGAUAAAUAAAAACAUUAGCAAUUGGGAUCAACAGGAGCAAACUUGCACUGGUAUCUCACCUAUCCAAUCAGUUUUGCUAAUUUUGCACACCUAUAAGGUAAGUUACUCUUCCUAUAGAAUCUAAUAAGUCUUUGUGAUAUUAAUUUCAGGUUACAGGUCUCUAUUGCUUUGGAUGGUGCCUCCAUAAAUUGUUAAUCUACCAACAUAUUAAAAAGAUGUUUAAUAUCUUAGGUCAAACUUUCUGUAUAGAGACCUGGUCAAGAUUUAAAAGGGCCUGAUUCUGAUUUUUCCAUACAUACUUCUCAAAGAACUCUGCCAAGAGAAGUAUCUUUCAUGCUGGUGUUGUGAGGAGAAAUGAAAAGAUAGAUGUCACCUGAAAGAGGAUGUUGCUUUAAUUCUUCAUUUUUGCUUUUUCUCUAUCAUAUUUCAUGGAGUGGACAUGAUUUUCAAGAAUGAAAAGCAUCCCUGAGAACAGGCAAAAGACACAUUUUCAUGGGCCUGAGGGCACUAAUAGGUCUUAACAUCCCUGACCACUCCCACCUGGGGCCUCCACCCACUCCCUGCACAUGGUCCUUUUUCAACUCAGCCCAGGGCUAUUGGUCCUGGUUUGAGCUUUGUUGCAGGAGUGGGGGUCUCCACCUCUAUCAGUGUUCCUGGAUGAACCUCAGACCUGCCCUUAAACAGGUGGUCUCCCUCUCGUUGAGAAGACGAAUGUUCAUCAAAACCAGGAACUUUUCAACCAAUGGUAGCAAAGAUAACUUAGAAAUCCAGAUGAAAGGGAAACCAGAACAAUAUCCUCUCUAUUAG
rnacentral:lncRNA from 1 species